AGUACAGUUAAAGCGCCUGUGCAAAUAAAUAUUUGUAUUUGAAGAUUAAAGGUUAAUAUAUGAGUGGCCUUUAUAGAGUGCAAUAUAUGUAUUUGUAGACGAGGAGGAUAGUGAUCGAAUAGAUCGGCGGAUGCUAUCCCGGAUGUGGCUCAUUCGUUAGCUUAUUAAGUAAAACAUUAGGGUGACUUAAUGGACAAAGUUAAUAAGAUCGCCAGAA
rnacentral:ncRNA from 14 species